rnacentral:pre_miRNA from 1 species
UAACUACUCUCUCCGUUCAACAAAAGAUGUCUCAAAUUUGGAUGUUUUGGAUGUAUCUAGACAUGACUUAGUGGAUAGAUGUAUUCAAAUUUGGUUAAAGUUGAGACAUCGUUUGUUUGACGGAGGGAGUAGUGA